rnacentral:rRNA from 1 species
UGGGGUAUAUUGCACAAUGGGCGAAAGCCUGAUGCAGCGACGCCGCGUGGGGGAUGAAGGCCUUCGGGUUGUAAACUUCUUUUGCUCUGAACAAGGCGCACCAUGGGGUGUGUUGAGUGUAGGGGUUGAUUAGCGCCGGCUAACUACGUGCCAGCAGCCGCGGUAAUACGUAGGGCGCGAGCGUUGUCCGGAAUUAUUGGGCGUAAAGGGCUUGUAGGUGGCUGGUUGCGUCUGUCGUGAAAGCUCAUGGCUUAACUGUGGGUUUGCGGGGGGUACGGGCUGGCUUGAGUGAAGUAGGGGAGGCUGGAAUUCCUGGUGGAGCGGUGGAAUGCGCAGAUAUCAGGAGGAAUACCGGUGGCGAAGGCGGGUCUCUGGGCUGUUACUGACACUGAGGAGCGAAAGCAUGGGGAGCGAACAGG